AGCCUCGAGUGUGGCCGGACGGGCUCGAAGGAGCCGCCGCAGGUGAACAAUGAGAGCUGUGAGGGGCUGAACACGGCUGAGCGGUGUCCUGGCCAGAGUGAGUGUGCGGGGCUGUGAAAAGCGCCUUAAAUGCACGCUAUUAACUAAUAAAUAGCGGAUUUAGUUGGAGUUCUGACGGCCUAGCAGGCUCUGGUCUGUCCUAGCUGGAAGAUUCUGUAGUAGGGGUUCAUAGUUCAGGUGAGAAACAGGGGAAGUUACUUGUACAAUGCAUAAAAAAUAAACAAUAAAUCGCAAUCGCAGGUGUACCCAGCAGCCUGGCUCCCCGUGCUAACAAGCAGCCGCAGUGGGAUCAGGUGUGUCUGAUUCCUAAAUUAGUCCCAGCAGGUGGGUUAGAAACUCAGCACUGGGUCAGGAAUGACUUCAGUGUGUGCCUGUUAAUAAUAAACAGCUGCAUUACAAAACAAGUUGUUAUUUCGGGCUCCUGUUUGCUACCUCGCAGGUUGUUACAGUAAUGAAAGACUUUGGGUUCAUUACAGGAGAUUCAUGUGCUAAUUAGCAGCCCAGUUAAUAGGGCAGACUGGGAGCUGUGCUUGCUGCUCCCCGGAUUUCCAAAGCCUCAGGAGAAGGAAUGCAGGGAUGCAGUGUGAGCAUCAGAGGCAGGAUUAUUUCUGUUUUCAGCCGUGCUUUAGGGAUAGCAGAAAAAUAACGAAGAAAACAAUGACUAAUGAGCGGCUGUGCCCGGGCUGGGGUUCCCCUUGUGAAGGAACAUUUCUGCAUCCCGAGAGAAGCUGCCCAGCAUUGCAGAGGGAAGGAAGAGCUCGGAGGUGCGGUGGGAGAGGAGCGCCGUCCCCAGCAGGUGGCAGGAGCCGCCUUCCCGCACGCUCCGUGCCGCUGUCCGUGGUUACCCACGGCAGCCCGGGAUGCUCGGGAACAGCAGCGGGAAAGGGGCUGAGCCGAGCAUUCCCUGGAUGUGGGAAUGGGGAAAGCUGCGGCUGCUCCCCUGCUCGCGGAUCCCGCACCACAGGAGCGUUUUGGCUGGGCUUUGCUGCCACGUGGGGCACAGAAAUGACUUUGGCAGGGACAGCACCCAGGGAGCAGCUGGAGCUGGGCCAGGGGGGCUCAGGCUGGAGAUCAGGAAAGGUUCUUCCCCCAGAGGGUGGAAUGAGCUCUGGAAAAGCUCCCCAGGGAAUGGGCACGGCCCCGAGGCUGCCGGAGCUCCAGGAGCGUUUGGGCAACGCUGCCAGGGAUGCCCAGGCUGGGAUUGUUGGGGGGUCUGGGAUGAUCCCUGGGGGUCCCAGCUCAGGAUAUUCUGGGGUUCUGUGGGUGAUCUCUGAUUUGAAAAGGAACCAGCCCCAGCUCUUAGGCAGCUGUUCUGUUGGCUGUCACCUCAGUGAGAAAACUCUGCCUUCCUUCCCUCCUGCCUGGAGUGGUUUUGCUUUCUGAGUUUCCAGCUGGAGUGAGGAGCACCUUCCUUAGGAGCUUGUACCCCGAGGGCUCCUGAGCACUGCCCUCAGUCCUGCCCCACACUUGUCAUAACCUCAGCUCAUUUUUAUCUCACCUCUUAUUUCCUGGAGUGCAUUCCUUAACAUUCCCUGCAGUGCUUGGCUGCUGCUUUCUUGUUUCAGUGUCCACACACUCCUGGUUCCUUUACCCCACUGAUUCUCUCCUUUCCCAGAGCAAUCCCAGCCUGUCCCAGCUGGAAGCACUGAGCCAGGCACUCCUUCUGGACCAGUUUCUCCCUGAGUUUGGGGUUUGGAGCUGUGCCUGCACAGGAGCAGGAGGAAUUCCCUGUCCUCCUGGUGAGCAUCUUCCCCUGCAUCACCUCAGAAUGAGAAUUUCCAGUUUGGUUAUUAAUUACAAUUCUGGCUCGAGAUGUUUCUGUGGGGCAUUCAGGUGUAGUUUUUCUAAUCACCAUCCUGGUAAUUAAUCUGCCAGCCAAGCUCCCUCAUUAGCAGCCUGCCUCAUGUUGGUCUGUCCCAUUAAACCUUCUGGAGCUUUUGGGGGCUGCUCACAAGUUUUGUGAAAGUUGUCUGUGAUAAGCUCAGGUUGUGGUCAGUUAAUCUUAUUUAAACAGUGAUUGAAUUAAAAUAUUUAGUUACUAUCACCAAAAAUGAAUAUUCCCCUCGGCAUCUUUACAAGCACAAAAGAUAAAUAUUUGUUUUACCAUUCUCUAAGAGUUACUGUAUUGAUUCCCAAUAACAGAUCCAAGCUAUUACAAUCAUUUCCCCUGUUAUUCUUUUAAAACAUCCUUGUUGUCCUUUCCCUUAUUAGUAAAGUUGCAUUUUUACUCAUCUCUGUAACUUUUGAGUGUUUUUGCUAAGUGAUCCCUCUGAUCUCCAUUGGUUGCAAAGCUGAUUUUUUAAAACACAGAUUUUUUUUUAUGCCUGUUAUUAAUACACACACAUUGUGAUGAUGGAGAGUCCUGGUUUGGGCUGGGAUAGAGUUCAAUUCCUCCCCAGGAGCUGGGACAGUGAUUUGGGUUCAGGAUGAGGAUAAUGAGUGAGGAGCUGGGGUUAAACCAGAGGCUGACAUUAUUUCCCUGCAAGGUGAGAUGUUCUCCCAGUGCCGAGAUUUGGCAAGAAGUCACGCAGAAGUAACAAAGGAAAUAAAAAACUCUCCUGGCUCA
ensembl:lncRNA